UAGGGAAUCUUCGGCAAUGGGGGCAACCCUGACCGAGCAACGCCGCGUGAGUGAAGAAGGUUUUCGGAUCGUAAAGCUCUGUUGUAAGAGAAGAACGUGUGUGAGAGUGGAAAGUUCACACAGUGACGGUAACUUACCAGAAAGGGACGGCUAACUACGUGCCAGCAGCCGCGGUAAUACGUAGGUCCCGAGCGUUGUCCGGAUUUAUUGGGCGUAAAGCGAGCGCAGGCGGUUUAAUAAGUCUGAAGUUAAAGGCAGUGGCUUAACCAUUGUUCGCUUUGGAAACUGUUCAGCUUGAGUGCAGAAGGGGAGAGUGGAAUUCCAUGUGUAGCGGUGAAAUGCGUAGAUAUAUGGAGGAACACCGGUGGCGAAAGCGGCUCUCUGGUCUGUAACUGACGCUGAGGCUCGAAAGCGUGGGGAGCAAACAGG
rnacentral:rRNA from 1 species